AAAACCCCCUCACAGAUAAUGUGGUAUUGGUAGAAGUGAACGGUACUUACAUUACCUUGUCUCACUCUGCUGAAAUGAAUAGGCCAGAGAAGUGGACCCAUGGUAAUUGACUCCAGGAGUGUUUUUCAAUGCUAAACUAGUCUUUACCCAAGUCAAAUUCUGAGCUACCGGACCCCCCAUUAAGUCCAAAACAGAGU
rnacentral:misc_RNA from 1 species